AUCCUCGAGUCAGUUUUGCUCAAUUUGACUAUUCAGUUCUGUUCAGUUCAUUUUCUUAGUAGCUUCCUCAAUGUGUCAACAGAGAACUUUUUUGGUUUGUACUGGUUCCAUUCAAGACCUUGUCUCCAUGUAAUUCUGGCUGCCACCUGGCGUGAAUUUUCAGGGGGAAAUGAAGGCUCGAUUUACGGCACAGAGGAAGUGCACCUGCCGCUGGACAGUUUCCCCUGAGGUAGCGGAAAUGGCGGUCGUUUGAACAACCGGAAUAAAUGUGGAAACUCUACCCGGCAGGGUAAGAGAGAGUGAUGGAAACGGUAGAGGAACGAGAGUGAACCCCAGACGGACAUUCACUGGACGGAGAGAGAUCGCAGCUUCUGGGGCUGACUUGGAUGGAUGGAUUUUUAACGAUCCACCGGCCCAGUGGCCGGUACCGACUAUGGAGAGAGCUCCAGGACUUUAGAGGCUUAAAAACCUUCUAAAUCAGCUCCCCAGGAGGCCCACGUGGACCAGGAUCCCCCUGAAAACAACAAAAAAUGAGGAGAUAAAGGAGAGGAAAGAAGGAGCACCCAUCUCACCUGAGCGGAGCAGAUCAGCACGAUUUGCAGUAAAAGCACCAGCAAAGACUCCC